UAUCUCUGUAGAGUCUGCAUAUCAAUAAGCGGAGGAAAAGAAACUAACUAGGAUUCCCUCAGUAACGGCGAGUGAAGCGGGAAGAGCUCAAAUUUGAAAUCUUCAAGGUUUUACCUUGACGAAUUGCUAGUUUAAAGAAGUGUUUUCUGUUGGAGUUUUGGUAAAAGUUCUUUGGAAUAGGACAUCAUAGAGGGUGAGAAUCCCGUAUUUGACCAUUAUUUCCAGCUUUGUGAUACACUUUCAAAGAGUCGGAUUGUUUGGGAAUGCAGUCCAAAAUGGGUGGUAAAUUUCAUCUAAAGCUAAAUAUUGGCGAGAGACCGAUAGCGAACAAGUACCGUGAGGGAAAGAUGAAAAGAACUUUGAAAAGAGAGUUAAACAGGUACGUGAAAUUGUCAAAAGGGAAGCGUUUGACACCAGUGUUGUUUCUACGAAAAUCAAUUUAUGAUGGCUUGAUGCUAAGCUUUAAGACUUUAUCCGCUUGUUGUUUAGUUUUCUUGUCUUUGUGAAUGCACUUUUCGUGGAACAAGUCAACAUCAAUUUCUUUUGCUGUAAAAGGGUAAGAGGAAGGUGGCUUCGGCUUCGGUUGAAGUGUUUAUAGCCUUUUAUCUCUGCAGUCGGAGAGAUUGAGGUCUGCAGCGUAGACUCUUCGGGGUUAGAUACGUCGGUGCUAAGCUAUAGCUUUUCAUAGACAACUUGUUGACUAUGUUUAGUCAUGUGGCUUACCCGCUGGCGCUAUUUUACCUACGCUUAGGAUGUUGAGUCAUCACACAUCUCU
rnacentral:rRNA from 1 species